rnacentral:rRNA from 1 species
UACGUAGGGUGCGAGCGUUGUCCGGAAUUAUUGGGCGUAAAGGGCUCGUAGGCGGUUUGUCGCGUCGGGAGUGAAAUCCACUGGCUUAACUGGUGGCUUGCUUUCGAUACGGGCAGACUGGAGGUAUGCAGGGGAGAACGGAAUUCCUGGUGUAGCGGUGAAAUGCGCAGAUAUCAGGAGGAACACCGGUGGCGAAGGCGGUUCUCUGGGCCGAUAUCGACGCUGAGGAGCGAAAGCGUGGGGAGCGAACAGG